rnacentral:lncRNA from 1 species
GUAAGAAACUCCGGGAUACAGAAAUCCCUCUGUCCUUGUGAUAAGGAAGAGAGUCUAAUUGAGCUAACACAAGCCACCUGCAGAUGGCUAAAUUAAAAAAGCGCCCUGUAACACAUGCCCACUGGGGCUUUAGGAGCUAUAAACACUCACCCCUACACACUGCCAUGAGGUUGCAGCCCCACAACCUGCCCGUCUGUAUGCUCCCCUAGAGGUUUGAGCAGUGGGGCACUGAAGAAGCAAGCCACUCCCCUGUCACACGCCCUGUGAGGGGGACAAGGGAACUUUUCCUGUUUCACUACUAUGCGGCUGGAGCCCAAAAGCACUCAUCCCAGCUCCUGCACCUGUCUGUCUGCAUGUUUCCCCCUCUUGUAAGGGGUUUGAGUACAUGGUGGCCAAGCAAACAGGCCACACCCUUGUUGCAAGUCCCGCGAGAGGUUCAGAGAACUCUCCCGUUUCACUCCUGCCUCAGGCCUCAGCCACCACAGUAAGUGGAACUCUAUACCUCCACCUCGCCUGGCUGGGUGGAGCCUCUAAACUCAGGAUUCUGCCUUGAGCUGUGGCUCUCCCCUCAGGUUGACAGGGUCCAGAGCAAAACCUACGGAAGAAGCUGCAGAGGCCAGGUGGAGGGAAGGAUGCUGAACUGGAGGAGGCCAGGAAAUUAUGAGGUACACCAAUCAAACAUAGUGUGUCCAGAAUUUGUGGGUUCUUGGUCUCACUGACUUCAAGAACGAAGCUGCGGACCCUCACGGUGAUUCUAAGCACAUUAAAAUCUGGAUGACACUUAUCUGAAUCAUUUCGCAACUUGGAGAGAGAUGGAGAAGACACGCAUGGUGUAACUGGGCAUCACCAGAAUGUGCACUGCCAUCUGUGGCUGUCUUCCUGCUGGCAAAUCCUUUUCAUUCCAAGCAAAUAAGAUUCCCUAAAUUAGACAAAAAGGAAGAAACACAACAGAGUCCAUAAUUCUGAGAGGAAGAGAAGAGUGAUCAUCAGCAGCAAAAGGCAAUUGCAGAGAAGCACCACCAAGAGCCAGCUUCAUGCUCAGGAGUGAAUGCUGAGCCGCCUCCUCGUGGUUUCCGGUGCUCCACAUGUUCAGAGAAACUUCUCUGUUGUAUUAUAAUUCCUAUCCCAGAAGGCCUCUAAAGCUAUCUUACCCAAGAGAAGAAAAAAAAAUCCUUUGAGGACUAAGAUCGCAUGAAUGCAUAAACAUCACGAAAUGGACCUGAGGUAGGGAUUGAAAGCGAUGGUUUCCCCAGGGCCAUGAGCCAGUCAAGCACACGAAGAAACUGAGAGGGAGAACUGUUUCUGGAAAGUGUAUUGGAUGGUUCCCUUAACUGACGCUCCAUGUCACAUAAUUAACACAAGAAAAAAUUAGAAUCUCGGGACCUUGCCAUAUAAAAUGAUGUUCAGAAAACAGAGCCUAAUGCUUUGAGGCUGAACUUGAAGCUCCAGUGGAUCAUCACAAAAUUUAAACCAUACGAUCGCAACCACCCUGGAUGCCACCAAGGGACACAGUCCGGAGACCCACUGGGAGGCCUUUGGAUACUUCUUCCUGUCAACACCUAUUCUCACUGCUGAACCCCUAAAGCCAGUUCCUUUAUUUUCAGAUUGGGGUAAUAGCCUCCUAGGUGGGAGAGCACUGAGAGAGGCCAUCUAAAUUUCAGCAAAGCAUUUUAGUAAGUUUCUCAUGACAUUUUUGUGGUCAAGACAAAUAGAUAUGGUCUCAUUGUAAUAUGUUUGAGUAGUACAGUCAGGCACCACAUAAUGAUGCUUUGGUCAAGGAUGAACCACAUGUAGGAGGGUGGUCCCAGGAGAUUAUAAUGGAGCUGAAAUUUUUCUAUUGCCUGGCAUUUAUCAUAAUGUGCUUUUUAUCAUUAUUUUAGAGUAUACUUCUUUUUUGUUGUUGUUGUUUUUUGAGACUGAGUCUCGCUCUGUCGUCCAGGCUGGAGUGCAGUGGCACAAUCUGAGCUACCACAACUUCCACCUACUGGGUUCAAGCGAUUCUUGUGCCUCAGCCUCCCAAGUAGCUGGGAUUAUAGGCACCCGCCACCACACCUGGCUAAUUUUUGUAUUUUUAGUAGAGACGGGGUUUCACCACGUUGGCCAGGCUGGUCUCGAACUCCUGACCUCAUGAUCUGCUUGCCUCAGCCUCCCAAAGUCCUGGGAUUACAGGUGUGAGCCACUGCACCUGGCCUACUUUUUUUUUAUUUUUUAUUUUUAAAAAGGGUAAUUGUACAACAGCCUCAGGCAGGUCCUUCAGGAGCUAUUCCAGAAGAAGGCAUUGUUAUCACAGGAGAUGACAGCUCCAUGUGUGUCACUGCCCCUGAAGACCUCCCAGUGUGACAAGGUGUGCAGGUGGAAGACAGUGGUAUUGAUGAUCCUCACCCUGUGGAGGCCAAAGCAAAUGUGUGCAUUUGUGUCCUAGUUUUCAAUAAAAAAGUCUUAAAAGUUAAAAACAAAUUUUUAAAUAGCAAAAUCUUAUAGAAUACGCAUAUAAAAAGAAAUAUUUUUUACAGCUGUAUAAUGUGUUUGUGUUUUAAUCUAAGUGUUAGACAAAAAUAUGAAAAAGUGAAAAAGUUUGAAAACAUUAAGAAGUCUAUAAAGUUAGAAAAGGUACAGUAUGCUAAGGUUAAUUUAUUUUAUUUAUUUAUUUAUUUUGAGAUGGAGUCUUCCUCUGCUGACCAGGAUGGAGUGCAUGCAGUGGCACAAUCUCGGCUCACGGUAACCUCUGCCUCCUGGGUUCAAGCAAUUCUCCUGCCUCAGCCUCCCGAGUAGCUGGGAUUACAGGCAUAUGCCACCACACCAGGCUAAUUUUUGUAUUUUUAGUAGAGACGGGGUUUCACCAUGUUGAUCAGGCUGGUUUUUAACUCCUGACCUCAAGUGGUCUACCCUCCUCUGCCUCCCAAAGUGCUGGGAUUACAGACAUGAACCACUGCACCCAGCUGGUUAAUUUAUUAUUAAAGAAAGAAAAUUGUAAAAGGUAAAUUUAAUGUGGCCAAAGUGUCCAGUGCUUAUAAAAUCUACAGUAGUAUAAUGUCCUAGGCCUUCAUAUUCACUUACCACCCACUCACUCAUCCAGAGCAACUUCCAGUCCUGCCAAGCUUCAUUCCUGUUAGGUGUCCUAUAUAGGGGUACCAAUUUUUACUUUUAUUUUUUAUUUAUUUUUUUUGAGACGGAGUCUUGUUCUGUCCCCAGGCUGGAGUGCAGUGGUGUGAUAUUGACUCACUGCAACCUCCAACUCCCAGGUUCACGCGAUGCUCCUGCCUCAGCCUCCCGAGUAGCUGGGACUACAGGCACACACCACCACACCCAGCUAAUUUUUUUUGUAUUUUUACUAGAGACGGGGUUUCACCAUGCUGGCCAGGCUGGUCUCGAUCUCCUGACCUUGUGAUCCGCCUGCCUCGGCCUCCCAAAGUGCCGGGAUUACAGGCAUGAGCCACCACGCCCAGCCAAUUUUUAUCUUUUAUAUCAUAUUUUUACCAUACUUUGUCUAUGUUUAGUGAACAAAUACCGUUGUGUUACCGUUGCCUACAGUAUUGAGUGCAGUGGCGUGCUGCACAUGUCUGCAGCCUGGGAGCAAUGGGCUGUAGCACAGAGCCUGGGUGUGUAGAAGGCUGCACCUUCUGGGUUUGUGUAAGUGCACUCUGUGGUAUUCGCAUAAUGAUGAAAUUGCUUAAUGACACUCUUCUCAGAACGUAUCCCUGUCGUUCAGUGAUGCAUGAGAGUAUUUUAAAGGUAGAUUAAUCAUGAGAUGAACAGUGGUGGAAUUUGAUAAAUAGGUAGAAAUUGGCUUCAAGGAGAAUUUUAGUGGUGAUUCCAAGCCUACAUUUAAUCAUUUUAUUAACUUGGAUAAAGACAUCAAUGGCACAUUGAUGAAUGUGCCAUAUGGCAUUUAGUAAAAAGGGAUGGCUCCACUCAAGAGGACAUUAUCGUGAGCCAAAGGGACUCCGAGAGGCUGAAAUGAUUUCCCUAGAUAUAACUAAAUACAGUUUAGCAGAAACGAAUAACCAAUUUCUAUAUUUGGAAAUGCCAUCGUGCCUUCCCCCACCCCAAUCACCUUCAAUACCAAAUUGUAUAGGACACACCUGGUAACUGCACGUAGCCUCCUCUCCCCCUCCUUUGUUGGGACAAUGGGGCUGAUAGAAGAAAACUGGAUUUUUUUUUCCAGUUUUGUUUUCCAGCAACCCCUCAGGACUCUGGUAUUUUUGUUAAUUAUUUGGGAUUUAGGAAUUAAGAGUGAGACCUGACUGAGUCAUGAAAAGGAUGGAGUCUAUAUUCCAAUUUAGAAAGUGGUUUCUGAGACCAUCCCCUGGGGUGGUCAGCAUACCCCAGAGAGGUGAUCAGUUCUGGACAGAGCAUCUUGAGCAGGAAAGCAAUAAUAAACCGGGGUGUGUUUUGAGGAUGGCACCAUGCUUGAGACGGUGUCAUGUGAAGCAGACUGGAAGGAACUGUGGAUGCUGAAUGUGGGGAAGAGAAGACUCUAGAAGCACACCGUCACUGCCUUCAGGUGUUGGAAAGGCCGGCACCAGGGAGAAGGCUGAGACUUGUUCUGUGGGGCAUUAAUGGAAGGAUGCUCAACUGGAUCUUAUACUGAAAGCAAAUAUGAGAUCAAGUCUGCCAGGGUAGGUGUGGAGAAAGUGGCCCUGUAAGCCAAGGGGCUAUUGAGUUCAAUCCUGGAUGUCAUUCCAGCUGGUGGGGUGCGGUGGAAACACCAGGGAAGGGCAGGGGUAGGGGGGGACCAGCCAUGCAGGGGAGAAGGCAAGUCCUCAGACCCCUGUUCUGUGUGGCACUGUGCGGAAGAGGGGAAGGCUGCCUCACUUCACCCUGUGUGCCAGUCCUUUAUCUAACUAAAUCUCCACAGAAAAUCCACAAGAUGGGGUUGAAUGACCUUUUGUUAUCCAGAAAAGAAACAGCCUGAGGAGUAAAGUCACCUGACUGAGGUCACUCUGCUAGAAGGUGGGGCAGGGAUUCAGCCCCCGGUGCUGUCCCUGACUCUCUUUCUGCGUGGAGGGAUUCAGGCUCAGCCUCCAGGAACCGGAGACCAGAGCUCCCUAUCUGGGACCCAGCCACUGAGACGUCAGGUCACAAAGAUGGAUAGAACCAGAGGCACUGGGGAGCCGGAGAGCUUUGGAAAUGGGCAUCUUUAUGUCCUUCUGCCUCAGUCUAGAGCUGAGAUUUGUGAAAGGGCCAAAUCAGGGGUAGGAAGAGGGUGCAGUGUAUCCUCCGAGGUGGGAGGAGGCCGGGCCAUUUGACCAUAUCUUUCUCUUCAGAGUUCACUGUUCCCAAAGACACAUUAUAUGUCAUCCAUUUUUAUAUAAAUGGUGAGUUCCCAAAUGGGAUUUAAAGACAGCCUAGCAAAUCUUUACAUCCCUUGGAACUUAAAACAAAGCUUUUCCUUCACAGAAUUCUAAUCUCUCUUGAAUAAGAGGCUACGAAACUGAGGGACAUUAUAAUAACCUUCAUUUAAAAUUAGAUUCUGGAUGUUCUGGUGACUUAGCUGAAAACAGCUCAAAUCAGCGAAAACCUUUACAAAGACUUUUCGAAAGUUGGAAGACAUAUCUGUACACACAGGGCGUAGAGCCGGACUUGGCCAGUAUGUGCCUUCUGCCUCCUCCUGGCAAUGCUUACCCCUUAUUACUGUUAUUUCUGAGACGUGAAUGUUUUCUCAUAGUGAAUGUAGCAGUAAUAGUAAUAAUAAUAAUAAUAAUAAUAAUAAUAAUAAUAAUGAUAAAGAACAGCAACAUUUCUCACAAACCCAUUUCCUGAGUAUUAGCAGAUUUGCUACUGGGCCUUGGUUCCCCUUAGAUCUUGGCUUAAAUGAAUGCUUAAUAAUGAUAACAGAGGCUGGGUGCCAUGUCUUAUGUUGGUAAUCCCAGCACUUUGGAUCACUUGAGGCCAGGAGUUCGAGACCAUCCUGGCCAACAUGGCGAAACCCUGUCUCUACUAACAAUGCAAAAAUUAGCCAGGUGUAGUGGCACAAAUUAGCCGGGUGUAGUGGCACAAAUUAGCCAGGUGUAGUGGCACACCCCUGUAAUUCCAGCUACUUGGGAGGUUGGGGCAUGAGAAUGGCUUGAACCUGGGAGGCGGAGGUUGCAGUGAGCCAAGAUCACAGCACUGCGUUCCAGCCUGGGCAAUAGAGGCACUCUGUCACAAAAG